GCGAAGGAGUGAUUUGGAGCGAAUCCCAAAAAUAACGUCUCAGUUCGGAUUGUAGUCUGCAACUCGACUACAUGAAGCUGGAAUCGCUAGUAAUCGCGCAUCAGCCAUGGCGCGGUGAAUACGUUCCCGGGCCUUGUACACACCGCCCGUCAAGCCAUGGGAGCCGGGGGUGCCUGAAGUUCGUGACCGCAAGGAGCGACCUAGGGCAAAACUGGUGACUGGGGCUAAGUCGUAACAAGGUAAC
rnacentral:rRNA from 1 species